UCAACUUUGCAGUCAACAACAACUAUGUUGUAUAUCAUUCAUCUCUACUCAACUUUGCUGUAUAAUACCAGAAAAUCUUAUGCCCAUAAAAUUUCAAACUCAAAAUUUCAAUCUCAAGAUUCAUUAUUUUCAACCAUCUUCAACCUCCAGCGUGUUACUGAUGUCACCCGAAUUUUGACCCGCAUAUGUAUAUUAAAACCCGC
rnacentral:lncRNA from 1 species